rnacentral:lncRNA from 1 species
AGGUGCAAGGUAGCUCGACGGAUUGACGUUCACGCCAUCUGAGAACACGUUUUGAAGGUGCAAGCUUAGGAAGACGCAGAGAGUUACAAUCGUUGUACGCAGUUUACUGUUCAUUUUGCUUGCUUCUACGGUCACCCCUGCCUUAACUCCUAGGCUGAUUCAGAAGUUCUCAAAGGCAUCAUACGUAUAUGCCAUGCUAAAGAGAGGAGAUCGAUGUGAAGGUGAAACCAGUCGCAAACCGCGUUCAAGUUCGAACAUCAAAGAAGUCAGCCAAAGCACAAGCUAUUGCGCAGGUCAGUAAAAGAUCUAUCCAGCUGCAUAAUAACAGUUCGCCAUAUUCAAGGACUGUGGAAAAUAAUCAGGUAGCUGUUCACGUACGGCUGUUCCGUAGUGAGAGUGGGAGAGACGAAUGCAGAUGACCGUCAUGUGUACCCUGCCUAUAUCACCGCGUCUGCGCUGGGAUCUCACGUUACAAAAUGUCGAUGCAGAUGGUACCUCAAUCAGCAGUUAUCGCCUCACGUCAAAGGUUCCAGUUGGACUACAACUCGAGGACUCAUGCUUACGGGUUUAAUGCGGAGUCGUCGUGUUAAGCACGCUGUUUUUCUAGCGCUUACUGUCCAGCCAGCCCUGGGGCGAGCAUCAAACUAAUUGUCAGCACGUAUAGCAACCCAAGCACAAGCGCCCAUGCCGUAAAACCAGCUGUCGUAUGUGUCUCCUGCAUCCAGCGUACGGCACCCCAACAAGCCGAGCGAUCGGGCACAAUCUUUAGGGCCGCAUACAUGAUCAUCCAAACCAACGAAUUCCCACGAUAUUCCAGUCGAAAAGGGCAGAUGCUUAUCAUGCGUCUGUUAUGCAUCAGCAUGCAGCAAAACAACCAUGGCCUUUCGUUGCGAAAUAGGAACGAACUUNNNNNNNNNNNNNNNNNNNNNNNNNNNNNNNNNNNNNNNNNNNNNNNNNNCUAUUUGGAAUACGGUAAGCACUUGAACGUGCCAUCUUGUGUCCUGUAGCCGAUAGGGAGAGGGGUGUACUUGGGGACGAGAGCGGCAAGAUGAGCUGGGGACGAGCGGCCAUGGGCAUGUUUAAGUAGGGAGGAAUCCGACUCGAACCGAUCUCCGCGCUGAAGCUUGCUCACCAGCAGGGGUUCCGAUAUUUUGUGUCAUAGCUCGACGGGAGGGCGACGAAAGUGUCCCUAGCAGCGGCCUCGAUUUCCGGGUAGUUCGGCAAGUGCGUAUGCGCCUUCCAAAUGUCGUUCACGUGGUAGUUCGGCACCUUCACCUGUGUUUCAACAUGGCGUUCAUGGCGAAUUCAUGGCUUCGCCGGUCUUCAGGAAGAAGCAACGCAACAUACAGACCUGAGGUGCAAGGUAGCUCGACGGAUUGACGUUCACGCCAUCUGAGAACACGUUUUGAAGGUGCAAGCUUAGGAAGACGCAGAGAGUUACAAUCGCUGUACGCAGUUUACUGUUCAUUUUGCUUGCUUCUACGGUCACCCCUGCCUUAACUCCUAGGCUGAUUCAGAAGUUCUCAAAGGCAUCAUACGUAUAUGCCAUGCUAAAGAGAGGAGAUCGAUGUGAAGGUGAAACCAGUCGCAAACCGCGUUCAAGUUCGAACAUCAAAGAAGUCAGCCAAAGCACAAGCUAUUGCGCAGGUCAGUAAAAGAUCUAUCCAGCUGCAUAAUAACAGUUCGCCAUAUUCAAGGACUGUGGAAAAUAAUCAGGUAGCUGUUCACGUACGGCUGUUCCGUAGUGAGAGUGGGAGAGACGAAUGCAGAUGACCGUCAUGUGUACCCUGCCUAUAUCACCGCGUCUGCGCUGGGAUCUCACGUUACAAAAUGUCGAUGCAGAUGGUACCUCAAUCAGCAGUUAUCG